GCGAAUACCGGAGAAUGUUAUCACGGGAGACACACGGCGGGUGCUAACGUCCGUCGUGAAGAGGGAAACAACCCAGACCGCCAGCUAAGGUCCCAAAGUCAUGGUUAAGUGGGAAACGAUGUGGGAAGGCCCAGACAGCCAGGAUGUUGGCUUAGAAGCAGCCAUCAUUUAAAGAAAGCGUAAUAGCUCACUGGUCGAGUCGGCCUGCGCGGAAGAUGUAACGGGGCUAAACCAUGCACCGAAGCUGCGGCAGCGACACUCAGGUGUUGUUGGGUAGGGGAGCGUUCUGUAAGCCUGCGAAGGUGGCCUGUGAGGGUUGCUGGAGGUAUCAGAAGUGCGAAUGCUGACAUAAGUAACGAUAAAGCGGGUGAAAAGCCCGCUCGCCGGAAGACCAAGGGUUCCUGUCCAACGUUAAUCGGGGCAGGGUGAGUCGACCCCUAAGGCGAGGCCGAAAGGCGUAGUCGAUGGGAAACGGGUUAAUAUUCCCGUACUUGGUGUUACUGCGAAGGGGGGACGGAGAAGGCUAUGUUGGCCGGGCGACGGUUGUCCCGGUUUAAGCGUGUAGGUGUGUGUUCCAGGUAAAUCCGGUU
rnacentral:rRNA from 2 species